rnacentral:tRNA from 1 species
GGGAAGGUAGCUCAGUGGUAGAGCAUUUGCCUUGCAUGCAAGAGGCUCUGGGUUCAAUUCCCCAGCACCA